rnacentral:tRNA from 1 species
GCAGCCGUGGCAGACUGGUCACGGUGUUUGCUUUGUAAGCGAAUGGUCGUGGGUUCGAUUUCCAUCUGCUCCC